UUUUUAUCUCGUCCACCCGAAUCGUUCCCUGCCGCACCUCACCUGAUCAAAAACCCUUCUCCAUCGCCAAAACCCUCGCCGGCCCUCGUGAGUCCUCUCUUCCCUCUUUUUGGCACAUGGUUUACCUUCGUCAUUGUCCUCCUCCUUCUCUUCUCGUCCACCGCCCUUGUUGUCGUCUCCUCUGUUCCCUAUCAGGACAUCCUCACCCUCUCCAAGCAAGAUAGAGUUGCCCCCAUCCGUAUCGAUGAGGAGGUGAGAAUGCUCUACCUGGAGUGGAGGGCCAAGCAUCGCCCCGUCGAAAACAACCAAUAUCUGGAUGAAUACUGACUCAAGGUCUUCAAGGAGAACCUCCGGAUCAUGGAAGAGCACAAUUCGAUGGUUGACCAUGGGGAGCACACCUACCGCCUUAGGAUGAACUGGUUCUCUGACGUCACCAACGGGGAGUACUUGCCAGGUUCCUCAAGGACUUUAGAUCCGCCUCUCAGAAGAUUAGCAAUCGGUACCGGCUGAGAGAAGGGGAUCUGCCUGAUUCCAUCGAUUGGAGGUAGAAGGUGCUGUCAUCACCAUAAAGGAUCAUCUCGACUGCGGUUGUCCUAGAAGUAAUCAUAGAGAUACUUGCAACUGUUAAUGAAGACGACAUAACUAGAUGGAUUGAUUAAGUUGUUUAUGAUAAAAGAUGUUUGGGAAGAAUCGGGUAUCCUUGGCUUUUUAUGAAACCAUGAAUGGUGUUAGUUAUUUUGUUGAAGGCUUAAUUUGCAUUAAAAAAUGUUCAAAUUUUUAAUGGAUCAAAUUUCUAAUGUUGUAUUAGCUUUAGUUGUAAAAAAUUUAUCAUUAGUGUGUAUUGAAACCUUUUUUUUUAUGCUAUUAUGAUAUAGUAUGUAUUGAAUCC